rnacentral:rRNA from 1 species
UACGAAGGGGGCUAGCGUUGCUCGGAAUCACUGGGCGUAAAGGGUGCGUAGGCGGGUCUUUAAGUCAGAGGUGAAAUCCUGGAGCUCAACUCCAGAACUGCCUUUGAUACUGAGGAUCUUGAGUUCGGGAGAGGUGAGUGGAACUGCGAGUGUAGAGGUGAAAUUCGUAGAUAUUCGCAAGAACACCAGUGGCGAAGGCGGCUCACUGGCCCGAUACUGACGCUGAGGCACGAAAGCGUGGGGAGCAAC